rnacentral:rRNA from 1 species
CCUACGGGGGGCAGCAGUGAGGAAUAUUGGUCAAUGGGCGGGAGCCUGAACCAGCCAAGUCGCGUGAGGGAAGACGGUCCUAUGGAUUGUAAACCUCUUUAGGCGGGGAGCAAUGCCGGGCACGUGUGUCCGGAGGGAGAGUACCCGCAGAAUAAGCAUCGGCUAACUCCGUGCCAGCAGCCGCGGUAAUACGGAGGAUGCGAGCGUUAUCCGGAUUUAGUGGGUUUAAAGGGUGCGUAGGCGGAUUUUUAAGUCAGCGGUAAACUGUCCGGGCUCAACCCGGGCCGGCCGUUGAAACUGGGGAUCUUGAGUGGGCGAGAAGUAUGCGGAAUGCGUGGUGUAGCGGUGAAAUGCAUAGAUAUCACGCAGAACUCCGAUUGCGAAGGCAGCAUACCGGCGCCCGACUGACGCUGAGGCACGAAAGCGUGGGGAUCGAACAGGAUUAGAUACCCUGGUAGUC